ACACAGACCUGCAGAACAGAUAGACAGGUAGACAGUUAGACAGGUAGACAGGUAGACAUACAGGUAGACAGGUAGACAGGUGGACAGUUAGACAGGUAUACAGGUAGACAGGUGGACAGGUAGACAGGUAGACAGGUAGACAGACAGGUAGACAGGUAGACAGGUAGACAGGUAGACAGACAGGUAGACAGGUAGACAGGUGGACAGGUAGACAGACAGACAGGUAGACAGGUAGACAGACAGGUAGACAGGUAGACAGGUAGACAGGUGGACAGGUAGACAGGUAGACGGACAGGUAGACAGACAGGUAGACAGACAGGUGGACAGGUGGACAGGUAGACAGGUAGACAGGUAGACAGGUGGACAGGUAGACAGGUAGACAGACAGGUAGACAGACAGGUAGACAGGUAGACAGACAGGUAGUCAGGUAGACAGGUAGACAGACAGGUAGACAGACAGGUGGACAGGUUGACAGGUAGACAGGUAGACAGGUAGACAGGUGGACAGGUAGACAGGUAGACAGACAGGUAGACAGACAGGUAGACAGGUAGACAGACAGGUAGACAGGUGGACAGGGUUAGGGUUCAGAUGAAUAACAGGAAGUGUGUUUAGUGAUCAGAUCAAUAACAGGAAGUGUGUUUAGUGAUCAGAUCAAAACAGGAAGUGUGUUUAGUGAUCAGAUCAAUAACAGGAAGUGUGUUUAGUGAUCAGAUCAAAACAGGAAGUGUGUUUAGACAUCAGAUCAAUAACAGGAAGUGUGUUUAGUGAUCAGAUCAAAACAGGAAGUGUGUUUAGACAUCAGAUCAAUAACAGGAAGUGUGUUUAGUGAUCAGAUCAAAACAGGAAGUGUGUUUAGACAUCAGAUCAAUAACAGGAAGUGUGUUUAGUGGUCAGAUCAAAACAGGAAGUGUGUUUAGACAUCAGAUCAAUAACAGGAAGUGUGUUUAGUGGUCAGAUCAAAACAGGAAGUGUGUUUAGACAUCAGAUCAAUAAGAGG